rnacentral:lncRNA from 1 species
UCAUUUGUUGAUUUUUUUUUAAUCCGUUAUUUUUAACUAACGGAUUAAUAGUUAGAUAGACAACUAAAAGUUAAAACUGGACAGCUGAAUAAAAUAUGUUUGAAUUUGAACAUAAUUGCUUCAAGCCAAAACUAAACAAGUCUUUAAGAAAUAGUUUUGUAGCUUUUCUUUGUUAGUUUCUUUUCCUUGAAUCAUGACCAAAAAAAAAAGAAAAAGGAAAAAAAAACAUACAGUUAACUUCUUUGCACUGAAUCUUUUAACUCUUUAAAUCAAAUCAGAACCAUUUGUUCAACUGUUACAUGAUUAUUAUCCGGUUCAAUCAAACUCAUGUUUAAUAGUUUCAUAUCUGCAUUUCGGUUUACUUGUUCGGUUUAGCAAAUAGUUUCAUACCCACUAUUACAGGAAUCAAUCAAACAAAUAACAAACUUACUAGUUUCUUCUCCUUUCUCUCCUCUCUCUUACUUUGAUCUUCAUCUCAUCUUUAUCCUCUCUUCAAACUCCGUGGACUCAGGUUCUUCAGGGAAUCCUCUUCUUCCUAUUGGUCAUCCUAGAGCGGUUUCCCCUUCUUUCUAUCCUACUAUCCCAUC